AUCUCUACUAAGUCUCAAUUUUCUCAUCUACAAAUCAGAGAUAAUAAUAAUGCCUAUUUUUGAUAAUCCCUAUGAGGAGCUGCUAAUUUUACUUUCUAAGCAUACAUUUAUACAUCUGACAUCCCUCCUUCAUCCCUACUGUCCCUGCCCUAAUUUACACCUGUGCGCCUUCAUUCUCUCUCACCCGAAUUGUCUUGAUAGCCUCCCACUGGUUGUACUGUUCCCAUUCUCCUCAUCCUCCUCUGAUACAACGGCGAUACCAAAGUGAUCUGUCUAAAUGCAGAUAGGCUAACUCUCUGCAGUGGCUUCUUGUCAUCCUGUGGCCAGUGUCCAAGAUCCUUCGCAGGACGUAGAAGGUCGUUCACAGUCUAGAUGACUUUAUGGGCAUUGAACUGCCCUUUGUUCUCCUGAUGCCAUGCCACUCCUCACCUCCUUGCCUUUCUUCAGGGUGUCCCCUCUGAGUGCCCUUUCACCUCCAUUCUCCCUGCCCCAUCACCCUGGUUAAUUCCUGUUCCUCCUUUACAAUUGAGCUGAUGCAUCCCCACUUCAGGAAACUCUACUGGGCCUUCUCAGACUGAAUUAAGUAACCUUUAUCUGAGCUCUAAAAAUACCCAAGAGCUAUCUCUAGCAUUUUACAUGCUGCAUUAUGCCAUUUAUCUAUCUGUAUCUGCCUUUCCAACCAAACUGCAAGUACUCUGAAAGUAUGUGCUUUUUUCCUCUUUCCUUGUUACACCACCAACUAGUACACAGAAGGGACCGAAAAAAGGUGGGGAUUUUAUCAGUUAGCAAAUAAACGGACCGACCAAUAGACCUUAACCUCUAUUAAUAAUAUUAUUCAUAUUAUAAUACUAAGAGGAAAUACACAUUUCUAUCUGAAUGUCUCCAAGCACCUAGUCCCCUGUGCUGAAUCUCAGAGAGAACUUUCCUCCCCAGAUGCAUUACAGGUCCCCAGAGCACCCUUGUUUUGAUUUUUUUUUUUUUUUAAUUUUCCCACUGUACAGCAAGGGGGUCAGGUUAUCCUUACAUGUAUACAUUCCAGUUAAGAAAACCUGUCUGCAGUUGGACUAAAGGAGGUGCUAAGGACAAGGUCAAGUAUCUUCUCAAAAAAUAAUUCGAAGUUCAUUCCAGCAGAUGAAUGCCUUGUAGACUUAGACCCUCCUUGUUUGUUUGUUUUUGUUUUUGCCCCAAAGCAGUGGUUUACAGACAGGAUAAAGGGGUUCUGAGCAGGCCAAGUUCUAGGAUUUCUGUCUAGAGCAGAAGGGCUUUCUCCAGAGCCCCUUCUUAAAUGUUAGGCGAUGACUGAGAUUCGUGUUUAACUCAACUCAUAGACUCAGCUGUGACUCGUUCAUGUCCAGAGUCAGAGGCUUUAAAAAAAAAAUCAAUAAAAGCUGCCAUCUUCAUCCUUUAUGUUGUUCCUGGCAGAUUUCCUCCCAAGACAUUGAAAUAACAGUGAUGGGUUGUGAUGCCUGAAGCCCGCCUGUUCCUUACGUAGACUAUGGCUUUGGUACAUCGAGGCAUGCAGUUUGCCAGGGAGGGGGCAGGCAUAGAAUUUAAGAGGGACAUUGGGUAAAUUGAUGGACCUAUAGACUGGGAAAGUGGAAGAAAACCAUUUUGAGUAAAUACACUCCAGGUCCAAGCACGCGGUAACAUAACCAUGAAGUUAAUAAAGGUGAACAAUUUGUCAGUUAGUGUGAGCUUUGAGUAAUUGUAAAAAAUAUGACAGACAAAUAAAUGCGUUUCUCUCUGCUCCGUCCAUCAACCCCACUGAAACAGAACAAAAAAAAAUGUUAAGGUAUAAGUCUACGGGAGUAAAGGAAACAAGAGAAAAAUCCAAGAAAAUAGGGAUCCAGUAAUGGGGACAACAUGAAGUUAUUCCACGUAACAUUCAAAAAAAAAAAAAAAAAAAAAAAAGGCGUUCCCGUCGUGGCACAGUGGAAAUAAGUCCAACUAGUAUCUGUGAGGAUGCAUGUUCAACCCCGGGCCUCGCUCAGUGGGUUGGGGAUCUGGCGUUGCUGUGACCUGUGGUGUGGGUCACAGACGCAGCUCGGAUCCUGUGUUGCUGUGGCUGUGGUGUAGGUCGUCAUCUGUUGCUCCAAUUCGACCCCUGGCCUGGGAUCCCCCAUAUGCUGUGGGUGCGGC
rnacentral:lncRNA from 1 species